GACAGAGGGUGCAAACGUUGUUCGGAAUUACUGGGCGUAAAGCGCGUGUAGGCUGCUUUGCAAGUCGGAUGUGAAAGCCCUGGGCUCAACCUAGGAAGUGCACUCGAAACUGCAAAGCUUGAGUUUCGGAGAGGAUCGCGGAAUUCUCGGUGUAGAGGUGAAAUUCGUAGAUAUCGAGAGGAACACCGGUGGCGAAGGCGGCGAUCUGGACGAUGACUGACGCUGAGACGCGAAAGCGUGGGGAGCAAACAGG
rnacentral:rRNA from 1 species